UCCGGGGGCCACAUGGCCCCCUAUCCCCACCGCACCUGCUGGCUAAGUGAGGGAGCGGCAGUUGUGUGGGUGGCCAACCUGGCUGCCCCGGGCUGCCUGGCAAUCGUGUGCAGAGAGAGCGAGCUAAGCCUGCUCUUCCUGCUAACCCCCUUACAGCAAGUCUCACUGAUCAUGAGACUCACCUCACUGACAUUCAAGAGGAAUUUAAACUUAGGAGCCUCCUGUGGAGAGGAUGCCUAAGGGAGGGGCUCUAGAAUGGAGUGAACAGGUGGCUAUCUAAUUCAGUUGGACUUAACUGAGUUGCAUAGGGAUGGUUAGGUCUAGAGAUAGGAUUUCUGAUUAGGGUCUCUAGGGCUAGACUGAGGGAGAAUUGGGAGGUUAGUAGGUAGGUUUUACACACUAGGCACGUCCUCUGUAAAACAAGCUUGACUAUCAAAUGUAAAUGCUGGGAGUGUAUGGUUGAUUACACAGAAUAUAUAGCCAGUGAAGUUGUAUCGCCGUAAAGGUGUUGGAAAUCUAAAGAAGCUUGGUAUUUCAAAACAGUCACCCCAGUAACUUGAAAGUAAAGCCUUUGUUGAUGUACUGACACAAUCAUAUAUAAAUACCUGAGUUUGACUACCAGUUCAAAAUUUAAGAGGUGUACUGUCAGGGUGUAACUAUAUUAGGGCAAGGGGAGACAGUUGUCUGGGGGCCCACUGCCUUGGGGCCCCCCCCCAGAGGCAAGUCACAUGACUGACUCCCCCAGCCGUGCACCCACCCGGGCUUCCUUCAGUUGUAUUCAUCCUCCGAAAUGGAUAUGAGUGUUAAAGACCUGGAGCUACCAGAACAGUAUGUCUUUCUCUAGGACCAUUAAAUGACUUGCAUCGUCCACAAUUCACAAAACCUUUUAAAAAAUAAUUUCUUUUACUUCAGGAGCUGAGCUUCAGUGAAGGGGGGGUGGCAUUUUAAAAUCUUGUCUCUGGGCCCACUCCAACCUUGCUACGCCCAUGUACAGUCUUGCAAGUUCUAAGGUGGUUAACUUUGUUUCAGAAACCACUACGUGUUUGACCCUACAUUGUAGUUAAUAAGACACCACUGAAGCUAUUGUAUGAGGUUAGAGUUAUUUUCCUUGGUUUACAAUGUUAAAACUCUUUCAACUGUGUCUACUCAUUUCUCCCCACGUUACCACUUGGGUGCAAUACAAAACCUAGUGUUGGAAACCCAAAUUAGUAUUUAAUUUGUUGUUGGCAGCAUAAUAAAUAGACAAAGGGUUGAAAACAAAGGUUCACAAAUAUGUUGAGGCUGUUCUUACAAGCAGCCAAGGCCAGGCUUAGGCAGCCACACCUGGACUUGGCUGCCUGUGAGAACCGUCAGGAUCCAUGCAGAUCUCAGCGGCACCAAACCCAGAAUUAAAGCCUGGCUCUUAGCCCAGGUUAAGGGUGCAACCCUUAACCUGGCUGCUGGGUAUAUGUGUCAGUUCAGGCUGCUUGCAGCUCAUGCUGACAUGGAGACAGGGUCCUAGUGCCCGUCCUCUAAGGGAAUCCCCCAGUGCACCAUAACUUGGCAUGCAGUGCACUGUGGGAUACCCUGAGCCUAGGAAGAGUCCCAGCCUCAGAGCAAUCCGCCAUGUUCUGUGCUGCACGGAGAAGUACUGAUUGCGUGGAAGCAUACUCCGCGUUCCCAAGCACAGCAUGAUCAUCUGGGGGGAAGGCAAGGUUUGCAAAGCUCCCCCCCAUACACGGUAGGUCAUGUGAAUGGCCCCCAGGUUUCCCCCCCAAAAACAUCUAUAUAAUUUAAACAUUAAUCUCCCAGUCCCAACCUUUGGUCCUGACCCCGAGGGAGCAAUAUUUUAGGACUGCAGAACAGAAGGGAAAUGUUAAAACUACCACAACCAAAAAAAGAAACACCCUUCCACCUGUACCAUGGUCCCAGUCCACAUCAGGGUCCCCUGCAGCUGUAUAGUUUUUAGAAAAACAGAAAGAGAAUGGGCAAGAUCCUGACUAAGCCAAACAUGACUAAGUCCCAUAGUAGAUUAAUGAGACUAAAGCCAAUAAUGAACAGCAUGUCUCAUUCAUUUCUAUGGUGCUUUGUCAUGACUAAACUAGUCUGGAUCCUACCCAGUAUGUUCAAUGUCAUAUCUGGUUUGACACCAACCAAUCAACCAGAAAGGCCCUGAUCUACAAUAUGUAAUUUUGAGGUACAAGUGCUCUGUGAAGGUAUCAAAGAGCAUUUGCUCUGGAAUAGCUUAACCUGUUUUGAGAAUGCAUUCUCUCACAAUUGUGUAUUUCAUGUGUUACAAAUUUAUAACCACUGCAAUUCCACUCUUUUCAGUUUCCAUCUAAACAGCUAUGGAUGCUUGCAGUUUUCAUGUGUAGACAAAUCCUUAAUUCUCCAAUUGGCCUGUAGUUCCACUUUGGUGGAAGAAGCAGGUACAUAUGAUUUAGCCAUUUGUACUACAGAAUAUAAAAGCACAAUAUGGCUGCCACUAAGCUAUAAGUAUUGGAAAGAACAAGUAGAAUCUUUGUGGGAGAAAGAAAUUGAUGUGAUGGGUCCAAUUAUUAUGGGAUCAGCUCAGGUAAUUGUUCAGAAAGAAAGGUUGCUCAGCAAGGCAAGGUGAAGUAAAAACAGUGCGAUUUCAUUGGCUUGUAUUUAAUUGACAGGAACGCAAUAUAAUCCUGCCACUCUAGUGAAUGUAAGACAGAUCACAUCAUGUUAGUAGGAUUUUAUCUUCUAUUGCCAGAUUUCUUCAAGAAGAAAGGAAUAUUUUACAACAGCAAACCAGCAUUUGCUUUCCGCUAUAUAGUUCAAAACCUAUGAACCACCAUCAUAUCAAAUACUGAAGUUUCGGCCAACUGGUGAUUCUGAUCUCUUGAAUGUGAGAAAUUUUAUCUGCAAAGAAGUUAUUAAAAGCAUCAGAAUGCGAUUAUGAAGACUCCAAAUUCAAGUUCAGAGAGUAGAGAACCUGAGUCAAUUCCCUCACAACAACUCCAUGGUUGUGAACUUGUGGACGCAAUGCAUGCAGAAUAGAAUUGCUUCUUUACUGCGCAUAUUUGGGAGUGCUUCUGGAUCCACACCUUUCCCUGGUUCCCCAGGUUGAGGCAGUGGCCAGAAGCGCUUUCUAUCAGCUGAGGUUGAUACGCCAGCUGUGUCCGUUUCUUGAGGUUCAUGAUCUCAAAACAGUAGCACACUUGUUGGUAACCUCCAGACUUGAUUACUGCAAUGCGCUCUAUGUGGGGCUGCCUUUGUACGUAGUCCGGAAACUGCAAUUAGUACAAAAUGCGGUAGCCAGGUUGGUCUCCGGAUCAUCUCGAAGAGACCAUAUUACUCCUAUAUUACAGGAGUUGCACUGGCUGCGAGUAAGUUUCUGGGCAAAAUACAAAGUGCUGGUUAUAACCUAUAAAGCCCUAAACAGCUUAGGCCCACAGUACUUAAGAGAGUGUCUUCUUCUGCAUGAUCCCCAUCGUCCACUGCGUACAUCAGGGGAGGCUCGUCUGUGGCUAUCUUCAUGUCAUUUGGUGGCCACCCAGGGAUGGGCCUUCUCUGUUGUCGCCCUGAGACUUUGGAAUGCGCUUUCUGUGGGAAUAAGAGUCUCCCCAUCUCUAGCGGCUUUUAAAAAGUGUCUAAAGACUUAUCUUUUUACCCAGGCCUUUUAGCUUUUUAACUUUGCAACUUUUAAAAUUUUGGAUUAUUUAUUGAUUUGUUUUAAGCUGUUUUUAAUAUAUAAUUGAUUUUAAUGUUUUGGUUUUGUUUGUUGUGAGACCUUGCAGUAUAAAAAUGCACUAAAUAAAUAAUAAAUAAAUAAAUAUUGCCACAAUGUAAGCCUUCAGAUGGGCUUUAA